rnacentral:rRNA from 1 species
UACAGAGGUCUCAAGCGUUGUUCGGAUUCAUUGGGCGUAAAGGGCGCGUAGGCGGCCACGCACGUCCGUUGUGAAAUCGCUCGGCUCGAACUGGGCGGGGUCAGCGGAUACGGUGUGGCUGGAGGCAAGCUAGGGGGCAAUGGAAUUCCCGGUGUAGUGGUGGAAUGCGUAGAUAUCGGGAGGAACACCAGUGGCGAAGGCGGUUGCCUGGAGCUUUGCUGACGCUGAUGCGCGAAAGCGUGGGGAGCGAUCCGG